rnacentral:lncRNA from 1 species
GAAGGAUAUAUGUUGGAAAUAUAAGGGAACUGAAUGUAAAAUACUUGAGAAAAUUGUGAUUUUUACAUAUAAUGUGUAUGUUGAUAUAUUUUUUUUUAUUUUCCCUGUAUUUAUAUUUGGCUACAAAUACUUAAAGACACUGUCUAAUGAAAUGGCUUAUGUUUUAUGAUAGGAACUGCAAAGUACAUGUAUGUCAUUGUAUUUUUAUGAUACACCUGAUAGUUGUUUAUUCUUUUAACUUUCGUAAUUCUUACACAUUUACAGCUAUUGAAAACUAAAAAUAAAAAGGGUUAUUUCCUGAAGACUCAGAAAUAUUAUUCCUGAUAGAAUACUAAUAUUGGAUGAUUGAUUGAUUGAUAUUUGCAUUACGCAGACUCAGCACAAAAAGGCUAUAUCACAGCAAGAGAUAUUUGAGUGCAGGCUCAGCACAAAAAGGAGUUAUCACAGCAAGAGAUAUUUGAGGGAGAUAUAUUAUAAGAAAAAUGGGAAAUAUUAUUCCAAGUAGAGUGCAAUAUAAUAAUGGGUUACAUUGCCCCAAGUUUCUAAUCAUCCUAUUAAUAUACAAGGAGAUCAAGGUAUCAUUUCAUGUGCUUUACUCGCAUUAUGUCUUGUUUAUUAUUUUGGUUGUUUAUAUAAACCAAAAAUAUUAGAAAUUCCUGCAAAAAAAAAAGAAUUCCCAAUGCAAUUCUUUGAAUUGCCUGACAUUUUGUCUACAUUUGUUAGAUGUAUUGUAAACACACAAAACUUCACCAAAUCUGUUGUUCAGAAAUAAAAAGAAAGAAUGAAAUUUGAUGCUAUAAAAUACUGUAUAUAUGUUUAGGAACAUUUUUGUUAUUGUUAAAGUGAUACAGACUUU